GUAUGGGGUUAAGCCUCCAGGUCCAAGGUCUUGAGAUUUGUGGUGGUUGGAGUUGUAGUGUGAUGUCUGCGUGGUCUGACCAAGUGAUGUUGCCUAUUGCGGAGUUUGUGACGUGGGGGAUUAGGGAUGGUGAGAUGAGAAAGAGGUCAAUGCGGGAGUAGGUGUGGUGGGGGUGCGAGUAGAACGUGUAGUCGCGGUCUGUUGGGUGUUGAGAUCUCCAUAUGUCUAUGAGGCCCGUUUGGGUUAUAAAGUCGGCCAACA